rnacentral:rRNA from 1 species
UACGGAAGGCAGCAGUGGGGAAUAUUGCACAAUGGGCGCAAGCCUGAUGCAGCCAUGCCGCGUGUAUGAAGAAGGCCUUCGGGUUGUAAAGUACUUUCAGUCGUGAGGAAGGUGUUAAGGUUAAUAACCUUAGCAAUUGACGUUAGCGACAGAAGAAGCACCGGCUAACUCCGUGCCAGCAGCCGCGGUAAUACGGAGGGUGCGAGCGUUAAUCGGAAUUACUGGGCGUAAAGGGCACGCAGGCGGUUAAUUAAGUUGGAUGUGAAAUCCCCGGGCUUAACCUGGGAAUGGCAUUCAAGACUGGUUAGCUAGAGUCUUGUAGAGGGGGUUAGAAUUCCAUGUGUAGCGGUGAAAUGCGUAGAGAUGUGGAGGAAUACCGGUGGCGAAAGGCGGCCCCUGGACAAAGGACUGACGCUCAUGUGCGAAAGCGUGGGGAGCAAACAGGGAUUAGAUACC